CCGCCGGCGACCGGCGCACGGGCGAGUAACACGUAUGCAACCUGGCCGUGACAGAUGGAUAACCGGGAGAAAUCCCGCCUAAUACAACAUAAUGCCGGGAGGGGACAUCCCCUGCCGGCCAAAGGGGGCGACCCCGGUCACGGAUGGGCAUGCGGCGCAUUAGGUAGUUGGUGGGGCAACGGCCCACCAAGCCGACGAUGCGUAGGGGUUCUGAGAGGAAGGUCCCCCACAUUGGAACUGAGACACGGUCCAAACUCCUACGGGAGGCAGCAG
rnacentral:rRNA from 1 species